UACAGAGAGUGCAAACGUUGUUCGGAAUUACUGGGCUUGAAGCGCACGUAGGCGGCUCAGUAAGUCGGAUGUGAAAACUCAGGGCUCAACCCGGAGACGCCAUCCGAUACUGCUGUGGCUUGAGUCUGGUAGGGGAACACGGAAUACCUGGUGUAGCGGUGAAAUGCGCAGAUAUCAGGUGGAACACCGAUGGCGAAGGCAGUGUUCUGGGCCAGUACUGACGCUGAGGAGCGAAAGCGUGGGGAGCAAACAGG
rnacentral:rRNA from 1 species